AAGGAGACUUCCUACUGUUAUGCCCCAUCCCAGCCAGAGUCGCACACAUUCAUACCCCCAUACUUCCUACUUCUGAUCUGGAAGGACGCUCUACUUAGGGGUGAGAGACCAAAUGUCCCAGCUGCAGGGCUAGCGUCGAGCUCUAGAAUUAAUGAGUGGGCUUCCAAACCAAUUUCUUGUUCCCUGACGCCUUGUAGCCAUUUCCAUCAGGGCACCACUACUGACGAUCUGGAGCAGGAUCAAUGAGGUUAUUGUCUGGGAAACACCCUAAACUCAUCUGAGCCAUACUGUGGUGCAUUAGUCAUCCAGCCCUGACGUGCAUGUGCGCAGGACCUCUUCAUGUCUCCAACUUCGCAUCUGGUCUUGAACUAUGCACAGGAUGGGGGUGAUGGGGGAAGGCCAGCUGCUCAAUCCGUGCGAUUCUUUGAAACGGGCUCCCCAAGUCUGAGUGGCCCGUGUACGUUUCAGGACCCCAAAGUCUGGCUCUGACCCCUCUGGGAUCUGAUGUACAAUGAAGGCUGCUAUCGCCAGCGAGAAUUGGAGUGUCAGCCUUUGGCCUGAAGUUUUGAAAACCUGACUGCGGGGGAGACAGCGGUGCCCUUCUUCCUACAGGAACAACAGGAACCUCCCUCAGCAGACUCCAGAACACACUGGUAACAAUGUUCUUUAUUUAUCUCUCCAAACCAUGGCACAUAAUAACCCGCUGUGGGAAAAGCAGCUGCAGGCUGAGUCAUGACUGAGGCUGCAGUUUCACACAAAUAAGCUUCGCUCCAGAUAUGCUAACCUGCAAAACCAGCUGCUGUGCCACCUAGUGGCAUAACUACUUAAACCUGGAAUAGAAAAGCCCUGAAAGAUUACUGGAAGAAUAAUCUCUGCUGGUACAGAUUACAAAGCCAGAAGGGGCUGUGAUGGGGUAUGUCUUCACUGCAGAGUCAAGGCCAGUUAUCUACUCUUUAGAGUUAGCCUAGCUAAAGAGAGCAGGGAGAAGACAGGGUAGAUUUGCCCCUUGCAGAUUAACUCAGAGAUGCAUAGCAUAAGCUUUAGUAAGCAAUGGGUUUACUUUGUCAGCUUCAGAACAACUCAGCUAUAGAGCAAUUGUAAUAGCAGCUGAUGAGUUGUGCUAAGGGUAGUGUUAGCCUUCAACCCAUUCCUGAAUUUCUCAGCUCACAUUAAAAAACUACUCCACUUGAAUUAGGGGUUGGUUUUUUUUGGUGUGUCUGGGACUUGGGUUAGGAGCAACCCUCAAGUGAACCUAAUUCCCACAUUGAGUCCCCUAGUUUUUGUUGGAGCCCUAACACAACUUUUAGAAAGAAAGCCAACUUGGAUUUCACAAUUUAAUACGCCAUUUUUUAAAACCCUCCAUGUAGACACUUACACAGCCAUAUUUGGAAAAACAAAUGCGAGGCUGGAAUUCUACAAAUUCCCAAAUAAAAAUCAUUUUUAGGUAAUUAUAACCA
rnacentral:lncRNA from 1 species